GAUCAAGCGACUAAGUGCAUGUGGUGGAUGCCUUGGCGAUCACAGGCGAUGAAGGACGUGCAAGCCUGCGAAAAGCGGGGGGGAGCUGGCAAUGGAGCUUUGAUCCCCCGAUGUCCGAAUGGGGAAACCCACUCCUUCGGGAGUAUCCCAGACUGAAUCCAUAGGUCUGUGGAGGCGAACGCGGCGAACUGAAACAUCUAAGUAGCCGCAGGAACAGAAAUCAACCGAGAUUCCCCAAGUAGUGGCGAGCGAACGGGGAUGAGCCUGCACGACUAAACCAUUUACUUAGCAAAACGGUCUGGAAAGUCCGACGAUACAGGGUGAUAGUCCCGUAUGCGAAAAGUAGGUGGCGGGUCUGAGCGUGCGACAAGUAGGGCGGGACACGAGAAAUCCUGUCUGAAGAUGGGGGGACCAUCCUCCAAGGCUAAAUACUCGUGAUCGACCGAUAGUGAACCAGUACCGUGAGGGAAAGGCGAAAAGAACCCCGGGAGGGGAGUGAAAUAGAUCCUGAAACCGCAUGCAUACAAACAGUGGGAGCCUCAGCAAUGGGGUGACUGCGUACCUUUUGUAUAAUGGGUCAGCGACUUACAUUCAGUGGCGAGCUUAACCGGAUAGGGGAGGCGUAGCGAAAGCGAGUCCGAACAGGGCGAUUCAGUCGCUGGGUGUAGACCCGAAACCAGAUGAUCUACCCAUGGCCAGGAUGAAGGUUGGGUAACACCAGCUGGAGGUCCGAACCCACUACCGUUGAAAAGGUAGGGGAUGAGCUGUGGGUAGGGGUGAAAGGCCAAACAAAUCUGGAGAUAGCUGGUUCUCUCCGAAAGCUAUUUAGGUAGCGCGUCGUGUAUCACUUCCGGGGGUAGAGCACUGUAAUGGUUGUGGGGGUCAUUGCGACUUACCGCGCCAUAGCAAACUCCGAAUACUGGAAAGUGCGAGCACGGCAGACAGACAGUGGGUGCUAACGUCCAUUGUCGAGAGGGAAACAACCCAGACCGCCGAUUAAGGUCCCGAAGACACAGUUAAGUGGGAAACGAGGUGGGAAGGCUUAGACAGCCAGGAGGUUGGCUUAGAAGCAGCCACCCUUUAAAGAAAGCGUAAUAGCUCACUGGUCGAGUCGUCCUGCGCGGAAAAUGUAACGGGGCUCAAACUGUGCACCGAAAUCGCGGAUAUGUGCGUUCCACUUUAGUUCAUUCCUAGCGAGAAGCUGUCAGCGCGCAGCGCUGACAAAGCGUCCCCCAAAGUCGAGUCGGGGGUGGAGUGAAUUAAAGGGAACGCACAUAUGGUAGGAGAGCGUUCCGUAGGCCGUUGAAGGUGGGGUGUGAACCCUGCUGGAGGUAUCGGAAGUGCGAAUGCUGACAUGAGUAGCGAUAAAGCGGGUGAAAGGCCCGCUCGCCGAAAGCCCAAGGUUUCCUGCGCAACGUUCAUCGGCGCAGGGUGAGUCGGCCCCUAAGGCGAGGCCGAAAGGCGUAGUCGAUGGGAAACAGGUUAAUAGUCCUGUACCUUUAUGCAAUGCGAUGGGGGGACGGAGAAGGUUAGGUAGGCCGGGUGUUGGAUGUCCCGGUUCAAGCGUGUAGGCGUGCCCGGUAGGCAAAUCCGCUGGGCUUAGCCGAGGCGUGAUGACGCAAGGUCCUUCGGGACCCCAAGCUGCUGAGACCCCGCUUCCAGGAAAAGCCUCUAAGCUUCAGUUGCAUGAAGACCGUACCGCAAACCGACACAGGUGGGCAGGAUGAAGAUUCUAAGGCGCUUGAGAGAACUCAGGAGAAGGAACUCGGCAAAUUAGCACCGUAACUUCGGGAGAAGGUGCGCCCCGGUAGGUUGUAGAGAUUCACUCUCGAAGGCCGAUGGGGUUGCAGUGAAUAGGUGGCUGCGACUGUUUAAUAAAAACACAGCACUCUGCAAAGGCGAAAGCCGACGUAUAGGGUGUGACGCCUGCCCGGUGCCGGAAGGUUAAGUGAUGGGGUGCAAGCUCUUGAUCGAAGCCCCGGUAAACGGCGGCCGUAACUAUAACGGUCCUAAGGUAGCGAAAUUCCUUGUCGGGUAAGUUCCGACCCGCACGAAUGGCGUAACGAUGGCCACACUGUCUCCACCCGAGACUCAGCGAAGUUGAAAUGUUUGUGAAGAUGCAAUCUCCCCGCGGCUAGACGGAAAGACCCCAUGAACCUUUACUGUAGCUUUGCAUUGGACUGUGACGGGACUUGUGUAGGAUAGCUGGGAGCCUGUGAAGCGAGGACGCUAGUUCUCGUGGAGGCGWCGUUGAAAUACCAGCCUGGUGUCGUUGCGGUUCUAACCUGGGUCCCUUAUCGGGAUCGGGGACCGUGCAUGGUGGGCAGUUUGACUGGGGCGGUCUCCUCCCAAAUUGUAACGGAGGAGUACGAAGGUCUUCUAGGUACGGUCGGACAUCGUACUGAUAGUGCAAUGGCAWAAGAAGGCUUGACUGCGAGACUGACACGUCGAGCAGGUGCGAAAGCAGGUCAUAGUGAUCCGGUGGUUCUGUAUGGAAGGGCCAUCGCUCAACGGAUAAAAGGUACUCUGGGGAUAACAGGCUGAUUCCUCCCAAGAGUUCAUAUCGACGGGGGAGUUUGGCACCUCGAUGUCGGCUCAUCACAUCCUGGGGCUGUAGCCGGUCCCAAGGGUAUGGCUGUUCGCCAUUUAAAGUGGUACGUGAGCUGGGUUUAAAACGUCGUGAGACAGUUUGGUCCCUAUCUGCAGUGGGCGUUGGAGAUUUGACGGGGGCUGCUCCUAGUACGAGAGGACCGGAGUGGACGCACCUCUGGUGUACCGGUUGUGACGCCAGUCGCAUCGCCGGGUAGCUAUGUGCGGAAGAGAUAACCGCUGAAAGCAUCUAAGCGGGAAACUCGCCUGAAGAUGAGAUCUCCCGGAGGCUUGACCUCCCUGAAGGGUCGUGGAAGACCACCACGUUGAUAGGCCGGGUGUGGAAGCGCAGUAAUGCGUUAAGCUAACCGGUACUAAUUGCCCGUGCGGCUUGAUCCU
rnacentral:rRNA from 1 species